CCUACACAGAAAGCAGCCAUGGGGGACUUGCCGAGGACUUUGUCCACCAAGUGAUGAAAGCAUGCAAAUGCCUCCGAAUCAAAGUCUAGCCCUUCACCAGCAGAACACCAUUCGUGGCAUCGUGUGGGGCAGAAGAACCACCCAGCUGAGCCUUAUCCAAAUUCCUGACCACAAAAUCAUAAGGUAUGAUUGCUAUUUUAAGCCAAAAGUUUUGAGAUAGUUUGUUAAGCAGAAAUAGCUAUUGAUCGAUUAUAAUGAAUAAUUGAUUAUAAUUACAAAAUGCCAGUACCAUGUUGGAAUUGUCUGCUCCAUGCUUUACUCUGUCUGAGUAGCUUUUGAACAUCUCUGCAAAAUCACAACCACAGCUCUUUACAUUGUGUUGAUCUAUACUUAGACGCUCUAUCCAUAUCCUUUGUUUUGCUGCCAACAAUUCUUGAGUGGACUGGAAAGAAUUCACUGUCUCUGACUCUUUGGUUGCAAGAUUAACUUUCAGGCUUCUGGUUUUAGCAACAUGGCAGACUGAACCAGUAAGCAUCACCUUCCUCAUACAAAUACACAAAAAUACUAGAGAAGUAUAAAUUUUAAAAUGAACACAUAAACUCAAAGAAAGGGAAUGCUUAGGUACUUGAAAUGAAAGUUCAGUUUGCCGAUACUAUAUUGUCCUUCAGAGCUGUUGAUUAUAGGCCUUUGGGUCUGAAAUUUCUUGCCUACAUAAAGACAGGAAAUGCCGCUUUGAAUCUGUAUAUGGUGGGAACCAGAACUGAACCCCCAGCAUGAGAUAUGCACCUUUAAAAGAUCUGAUAGACUAAGAGAAACAGUGAGAAAGCUUGUCUUGUAGCUUGGUUUCUGGGUAGGAAAAAAAUGUCUCUCAUGAGAAAUCAAAGUUACAAGCUCAUGUAGUGCAAAGUGGGAGAGUUCAAGCUUACAUUGCCUUUGUGAUGUGAGAAUCGAAGUCAAAAACACUAGACACAGGUCUACGGUCCCUGUAGAAAGACAUGCAAAAUAUAUAUAUAUUUUUAGGAACACAUUCUCAAACUUGGGCCACAUGGAAUUCUCAUAGGUUUAAAGACAGAGCAAAACCAAACCAAAGCUCUUUCAAAGACAAACUCAAUACAAAAUCAUGAAAUUGCACUAGGAAAGAAGACACUGAAUAGGGAGUUAGACACAGCAAGCUGAAGAAUGGACACCUCAAGAAGUAGAACUAACAGAAUACUUGGAAAGGGAUGGCAACAUAAGUAUAUUUAUAUAUGUAGAAGGAUUUAAGCAGAAGAGUUAGAAAAAAUAGGACACAAAGAAUUAAAAAGUAGAAGAUGAAUUUUCAGGUUGAUCCAAGAUAAAAAGUAGAUCCCUGUAUUAAAAAGUCCGUAGGUACCAUUAGUACUUCUGAAUACAAUGAUUGAAACCUUGUGAUUGCUCCAGGCUGGAAUUUUAUUCUACAGUCCUGUAAAGUACAGAUCAUUGGAUAAAGGGAGAAAAUAUUCCUUCCAAAGAGAGAAUGACCUCUUUCAUAUAGCUGAAUGGAGCAACAUGUUUAGCCAAGUUCAUGUCCAAGGGAGGAGAACCUUCAGCUUGCACCAAGUCCUGGCCAUUGGAGAAGCCGUGAGACUAGACCUUGUGUAAAGCAGCUGACUCUGCCAUGAGGGAAAUGCCCUUUUGUUUACUGAGCUUCUCCCACCCAUGCCUUGCUUUACUUCCCUCUAAAAGCCUGAGAUACUGGGAAUAAGAGUCUCAGUCUCCAAGAAAGGGAGAACACAUCAAGAGAGUUUGGAUUUCUGGGGUAAUCAAGUCCACUUGAUUCAUUAGCCUAAGUGCUCAAGUAAAUUUCAAAUCACAGUGUCAUGUAUCAUUGUCCACGUCCUUCCUCCAAACACUCCCCACCUCCCACCCAAGGGCCCAUGUAACUUGCUAUCGAGAACCUUUGAUUUCUUAGGUAUUUGUGUGGUAGGGUUUUGUUGUCUCUCCUGAAGAAAAUGGUGGCAAUUUGUACUCAGCUGUGAAAUAAAGGAAAUCAUGACAUA